GAUCCUGCCAGUAGUCAUAUGCUUGUCUCAAAGAUUAAGCCAUGCAUGUCCAAGUACAAGCCUCACUAAGGUGAAACCGCGAAUGGCUCAUUAAAUCACACCUAAUCUACUGGAUAGUUAACAGGUACUUGGAUACCUGCGGUAAUUCUGGAGCUAAUACAUGCGAAAAGCCUCGAACUUACGUGAGAGGCGCUUUUAUUAGAUCAAAACCAAUCGGCUUCGGCUGUACUCUUGGUGACUCUGAAUAACUUUGGGCUGAUCGUAUAGCCUUGCGCUGACGACAUAUCCUUCGAAGGUGUGCCCUAUCAACUGUCGACUGUGGCAUAGACGCCCACAGUGGUUUUGACGGGUAACGGGGAAUCAGGGUUCGAUUCCGGAGAGGGAGCCUUAAAAACGGCUACCACAUCUAAGGAAGGCAGCAGGCACGCAAAUUACCCAAUGAUCGAAGAUCGAGGUAGUGACGAAAAAUAACGAUCCAGGACUCAUCCGAGGCCCUGGAAUCGGAAUGAGUACACUUUAAAACCGUCCCCGAGGAUCUAUUGGAGGGCAAGUCUGGUGCCAGCAGCCGCGGUAAUUCCAGCUCCAAUAGCGUAUAUUAAAGUUGUUGUGGUUAAAAAGCUCGUAGUUGGAUCUCGGCGGACUGAGGGCGGUUUGCUUGCUAGUAUUACUGCCCUAUAGUCCGUAGUUUUGCCAGAGGUUUCGGGGUGCUCUUAAUCGAGUGUCCCGGGAUGCUGGCAGGUUUACUUUGAAAAAAUUAGAGUGCUCAAAGCAGCUAUUACGCCUGAAUAUUCGUGCAUGGAAUAUAGAAUAGGAAGUCGUUUCUAUUUUUGUGUUUCGGAAAUCGACUUAAUGAUUAAUAGGGACAGUCGGGGGCAUUUGUAUUCAAACGACAGAGGUGAAAUUCUUGGACCGUUUGAAGACAAACUACUGCGAAAGCAUUUGCCAAGAAUGUUUUCAUUAAUCAAGAACGAAAGUUAAAGGUUCGAAGGCGAUUAGAUACCGCCCUAGUUUUAACCAUAAACGAUGCCAGCUAGCGAUCUGCGGACGUUUUUUUUGUAGACUCCGCAGGAAGCUUCCGGGAAACCAAAGCAUUUGGGUUCCAGGGGAAGUAUGGUUGCAAAGCUGAAACUUAAAGGAAUUGACGGAAGGGCACCACCAGGAGUGGAGCCUGUGGCUUAAUUUGACUCAACACGGGAAAUCUCACCAGGCCCGGACACUGGAAGGAUUGACAGAUUGAUAGCUCUUUCUUGAUUCGGUGGGUGGUGGUGCAUGGCCGUUCUUAGUUGGUGGAGUGAUUUGUCUGGUUAAUUCCGAUAACGAACGAGACUCUGUCCUGCUAAAUAGUGUCUGCUUCUCUUUUGAGCAGACAAUUCUUCUUAGAGGGACUGGCGACUCUUAGUCGCACGAGAUUGAGCAAUAACAGGUCUGUGAUGCCCUUAGAUGUUCUGGGCCGCACACGCGCUACACUGAAUAGAUCAGCGUGUUCUCCCUUUCCGAGAGGAACGGGUAAACCGCUGAACCCUAUUCGUGGUAGGGAUCGGGGCUUGCAAUUAUUCCCCGUGAACCAGGAAUCCCCAGUAGGCGCAAGUCAUAAGCUUGCGUCGAUUACGUCCCUGCCCUUUGUACUCACUGCC
rnacentral:rRNA from 1 species